rnacentral:lncRNA from 10 species
GAUCACCACACCACAUCACCCAGCCACUCUGCCCAAUGGGAGGGCAGACAGUGUUCCAGUGUAGGAGGAAGGGGUGUAAGGUGCGGGCAGUUUGUGAGGAGGGCACCAACGAGAGCUACUGUGAGAAAGUCUGCAUGGUCAAAAAGUGGAUUACCAAGAACAAAGCAUCAUAAUGUUGUCCAGUGGACCCCAGGUUGAAAAGUCAGGUUCUGGAAUUGGCUGUCUGGAUUAAAAUACUGGUUCCAUCACUGAGAAGCUG